UACAGAGGGGGCAAGCGUUAUUCGGAAUUAUUGGGCGUAAAGGGCGCGUAGGCGGCAGGACAAGUGGAAGGUGAAAUCCCUCGGCUCAACUGAGGAACUGCCUUCCAGACUGUUUUGCUUGAGGCCGGGAGAGGCGAGUGGAAUUCCCAGUGUAGCGGUGAAAUGCGUAGAUAUUGGGAGGAACACCAGUGGCGAAGGCGACUCGCUGGACCGGUUCUGACGCUGAGGCGCGAAAGCGUGGGGAGCAAACAGG
rnacentral:rRNA from 1 species